GAUGAACGCUGGCGGCGUGCUUAACACAUGCAAGUCGAACGAGAAGUGAAGACGGAAACCUUCGGGCGGAAGGCUUUAUUUCGAGUGGCGGACGGGUGAGUAACGCGUGGGUAACCUGCCUCAUACAGGGGGAUAACAGUUGGAAACGACUGUUAAUACCGCAUAAGACCACAGCACCGCAUGGUGCGGGGGUAAAAACUCCGGUGGUAUGAGAUGGACCCGCGUUCGAUUAGCCAGUUGGCGGGGUAACGGCCCACCAAAGCGACGAUCGAUAGCCGAUCUGAGAGGAUGACCGGCGACAUUGGGACUGAGACACGGCCCAAACUCCUACGGGAGGCAGCAGUGGGGAAUAUUGCACAAUGGGGGAAACCCUGAUGCAGCGACGCCGCGUGAGUGAAGAAGUAUUUCAGUAUGUAAAGCUCUAUCAGCAGGGAAGAAAAUGACGGUACCUGAGGAAGAAGCCCCGGCUAACUACGUG
rnacentral:rRNA from 1 species